GUACUGAUGAAGAGUCCCAAAAUAGGAUGAAACAGCUGUCCAAUAU
rnacentral:hammerhead_ribozyme from 1 species